UACAUCAGAGCAGGUCACUGUCUUUGAACGCUGUGAAUUCGAGACCACGCCGCAGAAGGCACAACCACCCAUUUGUGUGUGCUGAGGAGAUGCAUAGGUAGGAAGAAAUCUUUUCUCAUCUUUACCCCAUGCUUUGUCUCCGAGAAGGCGUCUAGGUGGGAGGCAUACAAGUGUCUGGACUAUGGGGCAUUCCAAACACAGGGACAUUUGAGGCAGAGACAGCCCGGGACUACACGAUAAACCUUCCUGAGAGUGAGAGUAUAACCCAACCACACUGGCCAGGUGGCUCAGAUCCUGAUUGGGCUGAUAAUACUGUGCCUGGGUGUGACAAUCAGUCCUUUCCCCCUAUAUGACUAUGAUUCUCAAUUUUGCAUUACCACUGAAAUACGCUAUCACCUAUGGGGACCCUUCUCUUUCUUCAUAUCUGGAGCGCUGUCCAUUGCUGCUGGAAGGAAAGUAACCAAGGGUUUGAUCCAAGGCAGCCUGGGAAUGAAUACAGUCAGUGCCACCGUAGCAGGCAUUGGCAUAAUUGUGAUAAUUUUUGAAGAAAUAAUCACGUAUGACACAAUGAUGUGGAAGUCUUCCUAUGCAGUUGCAUUUAUAGGCAUGCUAACCGGACUGCUGCUCUUGUCUCUGGCGGAAGGCUGCAUUGCUCUGGCUCUCUCCAUAUUUGUGUGCAGGGCGGCCUGUUCCGUCAACAAGGUGGUGGUUUUCUUACCAAAUAAUGACGACAGCCCCUCUCCUGACCAUUUGUAUGACGAGGUCACAUUUCAAUAGAUCCCUGUGGUGUGGCAUUUCCAGUCAGUUUGACCUAUCGAAUCUCCCUCAGUUGGCUGUUUACCACAUGGGACUGAGACUGAGAGUACAACACAGGAUAAUAAAGACUGCUUUUAUUUGCUGAU